AACCGCAUCAGGUCUCCAAGGUGAGUAGCCUCUAGUCGAUAGAACAAAGUAGGUAAGGGAAAUCGGCAAAAUGGAUCCGUAACUUCGGGACAAGGAUUGGCUCUGGUCGUUACCAUUUGGUAUAUCACUGCGGACGUGCGCAGUUAUGUAGUUAAAACAAAAACCUAGCAAUAUAAUCGCUAAAAUGUUGGCUUUAGUAAAGGGGUGAUCAGGUGUCAUGAACUAAUAGAUCACUCAGUAAAAACGUGUCUAGCAAGAUACCGCCACUCCCUACCAGCACCAGUACACCGAGGUUGCUCCUUACACAAUGUUUGUUCGGCAUCCAAAACUAGGUUGUCGUCACUUGUAGGUGUCUGCGUGUCUUGUUGUGAAACGGGCUUUACCACAACACGAGCGCUAUUAUAGCGGGUAAGCGUUAUUAUCAACUGAUAUGCCAUGAUGGUAAUAGAAUCGGAACUGGCGCGGACAAGGGGAAUCCGACUGU
rnacentral:rRNA from 16 species